AAGUGCUCACAAAACCCUACCCACGGCCCACUGCCAACUCCCUUGUCCCCUGCUCUCGCCUCUUCCCAGGUCCUUGCCCUACUUACCACUACCUGAUCUUUCUGCCUCCCUGACAUGUGCAGAGCCCCUUGUGGUCUCCAAAGGAGAGGGACUGCUUCUAGAGUUCUUCCCUCAACCUCAUAACAGCUCCGGGAAGGGAUUCUGACAUGACUGACAGGUGGGAAAACUGAGGCCAGGAAACAGGGCAGGGUGGAUAUGUGCAGGCAGCAGGGUAUCAGAUGGUACUUGGUGUGACAAUGGAGCAGUGGGAACCCCAGGGAGUGUCCCUCCUAUGGGUUAGAGGUGCUGUGAACAGGGACUCAGGCAAGGGUGUCACCAUGAAGAUAGAAGCCAGGGCUCCUCAGUGGGUGGAGGGGCCACUGACGGAGGUGGGUGCUCUGCCCCAGGCCCUCAAGGGCAUGGAUUCCAGCUGCAAUUCCAUUUUCAAUUUCAUGUCUGAGCCUCCAGAGAGACACAUGUGGGCUCCAGCCCCAGCCCAGUUGUGAGUUCUUUCCUUUUCUCUCUGGACAGCUGACAAUUAUUUCAUUUUCUCUCACUCCAGAGAGGAUGGAAGCAUGAGAGAGGUCACCGUGUUGUCUUGUUUGGAAAUGACCCUAAAUGAGUCAGGUUUGCUGUCAUGGUUGGAGAACAGCAGGUGGAGGGGACAGCAAUGUCCCACAUUCCAGACACAGCAAAGAUAACGAGACUUUCUGAGGUGGAGACAUGCAUCAUGCCAAAGAGCAGCGACAGCAUGGGAACCCAGGGAUGGUUCUAAUUAGGAUGCUCUUCUCCGAAGGCAAACACAGCAGUCUGGGCUUGUGCAAUGUCUCCAUGGCAACAGAGCCAGGUGGUGGGAGGACACACUGCCCGCUCAGUGACCUUCCACUGGGCUGGGACACUGAGUUGUUCAUGAUUGAAGUGUGGCUGGGACACAGACCUCCAUUCUGGAGACCCCACUUCUCUGUCUAUAUCAGAGGGUAUCCAAGGACAUUUCUGUAGAUUCCAGGAAGUUGCUAGAUGGCCAGCUGGGUGAUGUAUUCUUUUGGGUCAUUUGUGAGUCGGGGCUUUUUGCAGGGCAGCAGAGCUGGGUUUAAGAGUGGGUGGUGCAUCUUCCUCUGGAUUAGAGCAGAACUGAUGUUGAACUUAACUUCCAUUUAACUAUGAAUCCUCCAAGAGCAGGAAUCAAUUCUUAUCCAGCCAUUUCUUCCAACCUAGAGGUUCCCAGGGCUGAAGUAACAGGAGGAGGAACCUAUCGGCCCACCAGGUGGUCUGUCUGUCUACCCAACCCAUCAGCAGGACAGAUAGGACAGCCAUGAGCUUUCAGAUGCUGGCCUUAGAGAUACUGAGCAAAAGCAUGGCACCACGUAUACCCACUUUGUGGGGUGGGUUUGCCUACAGGCAGCAGGAGUCCCUCCAGCCAGCCCCAAAGACAAGACCCAUUCCAGCAGGUCCUCACAGUGACAUAGGAGACACUUUCCCCAAUUUCUCCUUUGAGCAAUUUGAGAAUCUGGGAUGAAAACAAAACUCAAAGGCUUUGUAAUAUACCCCUUCGGAAUAAGAUUCCAGAAGACCCAGCCUGCUGUCUUCCAUCAUAGCAGCAUGUUAUCUGAUGGGUAGAGGGGCAGGGGACCCAGGAACCCACUCUUCACUCACCACUCAGUGUUUCUAGGAAUUACUAGGAAAUUUUCUAGGAAUUACUAGGAAAAAAAAGGAAAGAUCUCAUCAUGGCCCAGUGGAUCCAUCAUGGCGGGUCACAAUGGGGACGUAAAACAGGAAGAAAACUGGUAUUGGGAAGAAGGUUCCCCUGGCCUAGUAUGUCAUGCAAGCCAGACACUGGAGGGCCCAGAGAUCUGUGUUUUUACUCAUUCUCCAGAGAAUUCUGCUGACUCUGAAGCUUGAAGACCUUGCUCAGGAGCAAGACUUUCCAAUUGGAGAGUCAUCAAUGGAUAUUAGGUUCCACCCUGGAGCUGGGUGGGGUCUGGAACAACUAGAGUCUCCAGACCUGGUGUCCCUAACUCUGUGCUACAUAAAUAGGGUUAUUUUGCCUCUGUGAUGCGAAUUGGUAAACAUUUCUGGAAGAGAUGCCAAGCUCUACCUUGUCCAAGCCCAUGACUGUGAGCAGAGGUGAGGGCAGAGCCAAGCUGCAGCCUGAACCAUCCAUUCCCAGGCCCAGGCUCACUCCCUGAUGCUAGCAGCCUCUCCAACUUCCCCAUCUGUCAACCGGGACAGGGCAAUGGUGAGUUUGGUGUGGGAAGGGAAGAAGUCCUAGGAGAGAGGCAGGUGACAGAAAAGGCCCAUGCCCAUCCUCUGAGCUUGGCCUGAGCUCCACAUCAUGCCACCUUUCAUCUGGGACAGGCACCACCCCGAGUCAUUCUCAAAUGAAUACCAAUUAGGGCUGAGCCUAAGAAAUCCAAUCAGGGCCCAUACUGGGGGGUACUCAGGUGGUCACGUAGUGGAACGGCCUUUGGCAAAAGAAGAGUUACUUCCCAGAAAGGCAAUGGAGGGGCUGGUGUGCCAUGGGAGGGGUAGAGAGACACAGUCAGAUGGAGGCUCCAUCAAUGGCCCCAAGAGUCCGGAGGUGGCAGAGGCUAUGACCAGGAUGCAAUUUGAACCCUGAGUCCCCCCUGCAGGAAGAGUGUUCUGUGGCCUCCUGUGCUGUUCUGUACAAGGUGCCCAGGCCAGGGUCAUCUCCUUUCCCCUUCUCUCAUCACCCUGAAUGAGUGGCUUUGUACAUGAAAGGACAGUGACCUGCGUGCGCCCUUAAUCCUCUGAUGAAAGAAGCUCCGGCACAUGACCCUGUGGGCGGAGACCCUGGGCUGCAGGUGUGCCAUCGGGACCUCAGGCAGUCAGAAGCUCAGGGCCUGGGUGGUGUCCUCACCCCCCACCCCCAAUGUCACAGGAAAACGGAGUUUCCACGUGAGGCCACACUGAAUCAUGAGUGGCUAAGACAAUCCUAUUGAGAGUGAACGUUAGAGGGCAUUAGUGAUGUGACAGAGGACAAAGCAAGGUACAGAGAGGUGAAGUCAACAGCGCCCCUCCGGCAAGCUGCAGAGCCAGGGGUCCGACCCAGGCAGCCUGGCUCCAGACCUCAUCACCACUGCAGUGUCUGCUGCUUCCCUAGAAGAAGGACCUAGCUAGCGUCCACACCUCCUCCCUCCCAGCUGCUCUCCCCUCUGCACACUGAGGCCUCCUGUCAUUACCCCCAGGCUUUGACAAGGGCCUGCCACCCACAGAGAGCUGGGGGUUCCCCACAGCUACAACCCAUGGGCCCCUCCAGAGCACUGCCCCAGCCCUGGGGCCCCUCAGAGAACUCAUGAGGGAAGGGAACAUGGCCUCCACCGGGCCCCAUGAACUAGGCCUUCCCCUCCCCUCCCCUUAAAUGCAGGAGGGCUGGGUGGAGGAGUCCCUAGUUUAGUUGCCUCUGAGCUAGGAGCACCUCUGCUCAGUGUUCAUGGUGGCCAAGGCUGUCUCUCCACCCCCUCCUGGAGCAGAGGGUGCUCCUGCUCCAGGCCACCUCCUGCCACACCCUGCCUGGACCAGCCCCUGCCAUCCCCCCUUCCACUUUGGAUUCAGCCUCCAGCUCCAGCCCAGUGAACAGCUCUCCCUCCUCCUUCAGGCCUGACAGCACUCGUCAGGCCAAGUGGCUGCUCAAGGGAGGCUCUGGAAUCCCACCAUGGGGACGUGCAAGUCACUUAUGUCUCCACUUGGGCCAUGGUGACAAGGGAAGACAUCUGGUUACGCCUGAGCCCCAGAACACUGGGUCUCUCCAGCCUGCAGUGGUCUCACCUACCCCAGUCCUCUGGCCUGGAACCAUCUGGAAAUCCUUCCUCCUUUCCUGCAGGCCUGACGCACCCAACCACCACACCUCCCGGUCAUUCAGGAAGAGGCUCAAAAGGCAGAGCCAUGCCCGACUCACUUGGUUCUGAUGCAGAGCUCCAGGGGAGGGACAAAGUCAUUGUGGCUGUCCUCGGGGCUGGUCUGGGUGGUAUCUGGGGAGGAGGGAGAAAGAGAGGCAUAGUCAUGUCACUCCAGGGCUCUGCAUUUAACCUGUGGUCAGCGUUGACAACUUUCUUGGGACCUGACCCUCUGAGUACCUAUGCCUUCAUCUCCAUUCCAACUGGAUCCACCUUCAUGGCUGGCCCUAAAUUCUUACCUGGACAACUCACAGGCCUCUCAUUGUCCAGUCUCUAUCCCAGUUUUGUGCCUUACUUCAGCUACCAAAAUCUUCUUAAUAAAAAUACAUCUGAUCCAAUCA